UACGUAGGCAGCGAGCGUUGUUCGGAGUUACUGGGCGUAAAGCGUGCGUAGGCGGUGUUCCAAGUCUGUUGUGAAAUCUCCCGGCUUAACUGGGAGGGUGCGGCGGAAACUGGGACGCUGGAGUGCGGGAGAGGUAAGCGGAAUUCCUGGUGUAGCGGUGAAAUGCGUAGAUAUCAGGAGGAACACCGGUGGUGUAAACGGCUUUCUGGACCAUAACUGACGCUGAGGCACGAAAGCGUGGGUAGCAAACAGG
rnacentral:rRNA from 1 species